rnacentral:rRNA from 1 species
GACGAACGCUGGCGGCGUGCUUAACACAUGCAAGUCGAACGGAAAGGCCCUGCUUUUGUGGGGUGCUCGAGUGGCGAACGGGUGAGUAACACGUGAGUAACCUGCCCUUGACUUUGGGAUAACUUCAGGAAACUGGGGCUAAUACCGGAUAGGAUCUCCUGCUGCAUGGUGGGGGUUGGAAAGUUUCGGCGGUUGGGGAUGGACUCGCGGCUUAUCAGCUUGUUGGUGGGGUAGUGGCUUACCAAGGCUUUGACGGGUAGCCGGCCUGAGAGGGUGACCGGCCACAUUGGGACUGAGAUACGGACCAGACUCCUACGGGAGGCAGCAGUGGGGAAUAUUGCACAAUGGGCGGAAGCCUGAUGCAGCAACGCCGCGUGCGGGAUGACGGCCUUCGGGUGGUAAACCGCUUUCGCCUGUGACGAGGCGUGAGUGACGGUAAUGGGUAAAGAAGCACCGGCUAACUACGUG